AUCUCUACAACAAUCAGUGAACUGACCUCAGAGUCUUCAGGAUGCAGUCUGGACUCUCUAGAAAACCACACAGAUGCUUCACUCCUGAAUCCUUCAGGUUGUUCUCACUCAGGUUCAGAUGUUCCAGAUGGGAGGGGUUGGACUUCAGAGCUGAGUUCAGAGAAUCACAGCUGGUCUCUGACAAACUGCAUUGAUUCAAUCUGAAUGAAG